ensembl:lncRNA
GCGCGCCCGACCUGGACGUCCGCCGAGCUGCAGCGACUCCGGGGCAUCCCCGGCCUCGGUCCUGCACGCCCUGCACCCUGUGGUUCCCCGCCUUCCAGGAACCUGUGGAGUUUGUUCUGGUGCUGUGCCUGUCAGGGAGAUGAUGUCCGACAUUCCACAUUCCCGGCAUCUCUAACCUCCUCCAGGUGCCCUUCAGACUGCAGUGGAAGCCUCAGUGACUGGACGUCUGCAGCCGGAUGUUGGGAACAGCCCUGGCGGACCACACAGAGAUCCGGCAGUAGGCAGGCUGCCUCGCAACAGGACCUGGGGGCCUUGCCAACUGCACAUAGCCAAAGGCAGUCCUGGGUAUCUGCCAUGAAGUCUAUCCACUUAUCUGCCAGAAAAUUCUCAGCUAUCACCUUUAUGUUGUGACCUUAAGGAACACUGGGGCUGUGUAUCCUAAAGAAGGUUUGUCUGUAAAAAUAGUUAAAACCUGGUUGCCUACAUAUAAGUUUGCUUGCUGAUUUUCUCCCUUUUAUUUGGUCUGGUUCUCUCUUUUGGAUAUCUUUUUUGUUUGGAUACAAAGGUUAUAGUAAAGAUUACUUAGACAUCCAAUAUCUUUGCCCUUUCAAUAGUUUUUGUUGAAUGUGUGUCUGUAGCCAUAAUGUUACUGGGCACUGUGUGAAGAUUAUCCUAUUAUUCUAGUGCUGAUUCCUGUGCCCCACAUCUGGUGCCAUCCAUCCAUGGCAUUGUAACGCUUGUUCUAAAAGUCUCCUGUCUCGAUGUUGUAUAAAUGUUGCUCCCCAAUUAUUCCCUGGUUGGUCAAUAAAAAGCUGAUCAGACAGUGACUGAGUAAGAGAGAGAAUAAGAGCCGGACUUCCGGUCCCUUCAAGGGGAGGAGGAGAGGGAAGAAGAGAGUUGGUGCUGUGAGGAGAGGGUCAAGGAGGCACCAUGAGAACCUCUGGAGCAGAGAGAGCCAGAUCAAUACUAAAAUGCAAGUACCUCGGGGAUUUGGGCUGGGAGGUAGCCAGAUUAGUUUAGAGGAUUAGAAUUGAUUAAUAACUGCUCAGUUAUUGUGCCACAAAAUUGAUUAAAUAAAUCUAAUAGUCUGUCUCCUUAUUUGGGAGCCAGCCAGGAUAAAGAAAAGAACUCACUUUGUAAAUUGCUCUAAUGCAUCCACACGGGAAAGACAACAUGUAGCAGCUUCCCUUGCAGCUAGCUAUGAAUGAAAAUUAUGUUUUUAAGUCAUGUUUUCCAUUAAAAUGUAUUUCUUUCUUCUGUGUGUAUGUGUGCACACAUGUGUGCAUGCACAUGACGAGGGGGUGCAUACAUGCUCGAAGGACAACUCUGUGAAAUUGGUUCCAUCUCUGUCUUUUCAAUCUGUUUUCUACAGAUUUCAUUAAUUUUGCUCUCCAGUUUCUUAUUUCUGCUGCCAUAUUUUAAUUGCCUGCUUUGUAGAUACUGCAUCUUUUUAGAGUUGUAAUCUUCCUUAGUCUGUUUCCUCCAAGUUAUAUCUUUCCUGGUCUGUGUCUCUGUGUGUGUGUGUGUGUGUGUGUGUGUGUGUGUGCAUUUAUGCAUCGUUUAUAUAGGUGUACAUGUAUUUGAACACUCACGUGGAGUCUAUAGGUCAACCUUACAUGUCAUUCCCCAAGAGCCAGCCACUCUGGGCUUUUUAAAAGAUUUAUUUAGUUUAUGUAUCUGAGGGUUCUAUCUACAUAGAUACUUGUAUGACAGAAGAGGACAUCAGAUCCCAUUAUAGAUGGUUGUGAGCCACCAUGUGGGCGCUGUGACCUCUAGAAGAGCAGCCGGUGCUCUUAAGCAGUGAGCCAUCUUCCCAGCCUUCGUUUGUUUGUUUGUUUGACGCCUCUCCUUAAGUGUCUGGCGGAUAGUGUCUGUGUGCUUG